rnacentral:rRNA from 1 species
GUCAAGUAAGUAAGGGCGUACGGCGGAUGCCUUGGCUAUAUCAGCCGAAGAAGGACGCGAUAAGCUGCGAUAAGCUGCGGUGAGGUGCAAGUGACCAUUGACCCGCAGAUGUCCGAAUGGGGAAACCCGGCGUGAGGAGUCACGUCAUCCUCUUAGGAGGAAGGGCACCCGGUGAACUGAAACAUCUAAGUAGCCGGAGGAAAAGGAAUCAAAAGAGAUACCCUGAGUAGCGGCGAGCGAAAGGGGCAGAGCCCAAACCGGGAUGGGAAACCAAUCCGGGGUUGCGGACUGCGGAAAACUGCACGAGCGAAGCAGAAUGAGCUGGGAAGCUCAGCCAGAGAGAGUGAGAGCCUCGUAAGCGCAAGCAGAUGCAGGGAGCAGGAUCCAGAGUACCACGAGACACGAGGAACCUUGUGGGAAGCAGGGGGGACCACCCUCCAAGGCGAAACAC